rnacentral:rRNA from 1 species
CCUGAUGGGCGCGGCUACACAUGCAAGUCGUACGGUUACUUGUAACCACCCUUAGCUUGCUCCCCCACAAAAGGAGGACUGGUGACGGUGGAUGGCACACUGCCUAACCUGAGGGUCAUAAGGGGAUAACACUUGGAAACAUGUGCUAUUACCGCAUAACAAUCGAAACCGCAUGGUUUUGAUUUCAAGCGCUCUUUCGGGUGUCAAUGAUGGAUGGACCCGCGGUGCAUUAGCUAGUUGGUGAGGUAACGGCUCACCAAGGCCACGAUGCAUAGCCGACCUGAUAGGGUGAUCGGCCACAUUGGGACUGAAACACGGCCCAAACUCCUACAGGAGGCAGCAGUAGGGAAUCUUCGGCAAUGGACGAAAGUCUGACCGAGCAACGCCUCCUGAGUGAAAAAGGUUUUCGGAUCGUAAAACUCUGUUGUUAGAAAAGAACAAGGAUGAUAGUAACUGUUCAUCCCUUGACGGUAUCUAACCAGAAACCCACGGCUAACUACUUGCCAGCAGCCGCGGUAAUACUUAGGUGGCAAGCGUUCUCCGGAUUUAUUGGGCGUAAUGCGAGCGCAAGCAGUUUCCUAAGGCUGAUGUCAAGGCCCCCGGUUCAACCGUGGAGGGCUGUUGGAAACUGGAAG